UGACUGGGGUGGGCGGAGCCUAGGAGGGACUAUAUGGACAGCUUUUGCUGGGACUCUUUGCCAUUUCCUGUUGGGGAAGAGAUAUUCCCCGGACUGGACACACCGUUGGAGAAAGUAAUUUAUCAGGUUCCACAAGAAUCCAUAUCUAUUUCUUUUGGACUUUCACCACACUGCCCUUACUACUUGGAUUUUCUCUAUUUCCUGGACACAUCAACUCUUGACUUUUUUGGACACAUCCCCUUCUCCUAAUCCUGGACAUCAUAAUUCACAUUGGAACCCCACUUUGGGAUUUAUUACCUCCACAUUGAUCCUGACUUUUAUUCUCAAACUGAAAACUUAUAGAAUAUAUUUAUUUUCACUCAGUCAUUUUUUUUUUUUUUUACUGAGUCAUACAGUAUGUACAUAUCCAUUUGGGUACCCCUAAAUACCAAGUGAUCACUGUUUUUUUCUUAUAUAACCCUUUCAUGUCUUAUACAAGACCUUUAUUUUAUAAUUUGUUUUUAAUUGUGCUGUUUUUAAACGUGUUGGUUUUAUACUUAUGUCUUAUAUUAAAUAUGUACUAAUCAUAA